CGCCUGUUUAACAAAAACAUGUCUAUAUGGUUGUUAUAUAAAGUCUAGCCUGCCCACUGAUUUAGUUUAAAGGGCCGCGGUAUAUUGACCGUGCGAAGGUAGCAUAAUCAUUAGUCUUUUAAUUGAAGGCUUGUAUGAAUGGUUGGACAAAAAGUAAGCUGUCUCAAUUAUAAUAAUUGAAUUUAACUUUUAAGUGAAAAGGCUUAAAUAAAUUAAGGGGACGAUAAGACCCUAUAAAGCUUGACAAUAAUUUAAUUAUACUAUCAAUUGUUAGUAUAACUUGGUUUUAAUUAAUAUUUGUUGCGUUGGGGCGACGAGAAUAUAAUAGGUAACUGUUCUUAAAUAUUUAAUAACAAAUAUAAUUGGAAAUUAGUAUGAUCCUCUAUUAGCGAUUAAAAGAUUAAGUUACUUUAGGGAUAACAGCGUAAUCUUCUUUGAGAGUCCCUAUCGACAAGAAGGUUUGCGACCUCGAUGUUGAAUUAAGGUAUCCUUAUGAUGCAGCAGUUAUAAAGGAAGGGCUGUUCGACCUUUAAAUCCUUACGUGAUCUGAGUCAGACCGG
rnacentral:rRNA from 1 species